CCAGUUUUGUAGAUAUACUGUAACACAAAGCAAGGAGAGUGUUAAUCACUAGAGCUUAUAGUCUACAUGAUUUAUUAUUAACCUAAGCCUUGAGAAGUACAAAUUGUAGUACUCACCAUAAUUACUACUCUAGUUAUGGUCCCCAGACUGUAGAGGAAUGCAUUUCUCUUCCAAAAGUCACUAGGCACUCAUUUAAUGCAUGCAUAUUUGCUGAAUAGCUCAUCUCCUGCUUCUAAACAGUAAAGUAGGAUUCAGUGAGUCAUAUUAUACCUACAAUCAGGUAGGUGGAGGAGUGACUGGGUGCUACCUCUUCA